rnacentral:rRNA from 1 species
CCUACGGGAGGCAGCAGUGGGGAAUAUUGCACAAUGGGGGAAACCCUGAUGCAGCAACGCCGCGUGAGUGAAGAAGUAUUUCGGUAUGUAAAGCUCUAUCAGCAGGGAAGAAGAUGACGGUACCUGAUUAAGAAGCCCCGGCUAACUACGUGCCAGCAGCCGCGGUAAUACGUAGGGGGCAAGCGUUAUCCGGAUUUACUGGGUGUAAAGGGAGCGCAGACGGCAGUGCAGGGCUGGAGGGAAAGCCCGU